rnacentral:rRNA from 1 species
UACGUAGGGUGCAAGCGUUGUCCGGAAUUAUUGGGCGUAAAGAGCUCGUAGGCGGUUUGUUGCGUCGGCUGUGAAAUCCCGAGGCUCAACCUCGGGUCUGCAGUCGAUACGAGCAAACUAGAGUGUUGCAGGGGAGACUGGAAUUCCUGGUGUAGCGGUGAAAUGCGCAGAUAUCAGGAGGAACACCGAUGGCGAAGGCAGGUCUCUGGGC